UACGUAGGGUGCGAGCGUUAAUCGGAAUUACUGGGCGUGAAGCGUGCGCAGGCGGUUUUGUAAGCCAGGUGUGAAAUCCCCGGGCUCAACCUGAGAAUGGCAUUUGGGACUGCAAGGCUGGAGUGCGGCAGAGGAGACUGGAAUUACCGGUGUAGCGGUGAAAUGCGUAGAUAUCGGUAGGAACACCAGUGGCGAAGGCGGUCUCCUGGGGCAUUCUUGACGCUGAGGCGCGGAAAGCUGGGGGAGCAAACGGG
rnacentral:rRNA from 1 species